UGUUGUUGAUGUUGCUUAAAAACGUAAAAGUACUUUUUAUCAGAUUACUCGAUUACUAAAAUAAUCAAUAGCUGCAGCCCUAAUGGUUUGUAGAUAAUUCACAAUUUGCAGCAGUUUCAUGUUUUGGGGUCAACAGUUUUCACCCAGUGAUUAGCCAUCUGUUUUUUUGUUGUUGUUGUUGUUGUUCCAUUGUUGGGGUUCCAUUGCAGUAAGAAUUACAUCUGUUUUUCGCCAGUUAGACAAGCUUCUCAGUCAUUCCAAAGUUUCUUUCCACUACUCAGUUACUGUUUUCAGCUGCUUUAAAUUAUGCUCUGAAACAGCUGCAGUGCUCAGUUGUCAGGAGUGUAGAUGGUGCCAUCUUGUGGAAAUAGAUGAUAAUGCACCAUAUUUUGACAUACACGCUAAGUUGUUUUGAAAUUUUAGUCACAGGACCAGCUGAACAACAAAACAAAAAAAAAACACGACUUAUAGUCCAGAAAUAUGAUGCAAGUGAGAUUAAGCCCAAAACUGCAGUUUUUGAUUGAAAAAUGGUACAUGGUGCAAUAAGAUGAAGUUGUUACUCAUUGUAAAUGUUAGUGAUGGAUGUUUGUUAGGGGUGGGAUUUUUCUCUGUUUGGGAGAUCUGGAAG